AAAGGAGGGACAGAAAAGCGCCUCAUUUUUAAAAACUCGGCCGAGAAAUCAGAUAAUUGCAGCUGCCCCGUUCGCCCACAGCCAGCACUAAGGAGGAGCCGGAGGAGCCUCAAGGAGGCAUCGGGACACUCCGCGGCCCCGAGCCUGGCCAGCCCAUCUCACCCCGGCUCCGCUCCGGCCGCUCAGACGGUCCCACUGCCGCCUCUCGUGACCCUACCAGGCACUGCAGCUGGGAUUCCAGCUACCGUACAAGCUGUGAGAAGCAGUGAAGAAACCCAGACCUUAUAGAUAAAUCAGCGACACUCAUCCAGCCUUCGUGGCGCUGGGGGAUCCUCGCAGGAGCGGCGCGCCCGGGACGGAGCUGGUCCCGCCGCUGGCUGCCGUCACCCGUGUGCCUCCCACCCGCCCCUGGAGCCGCUGACCCCGUCACCCGUGCUCCCACUUAGGCUGCUCUUUUCCUCUCUGCUGAGAUGAACUCCCUAGGGAAUGCCAUUUCCAGCAGCCCGGUUUGCUGGAAAAAGGAGGAGAGGAAGAGGAAUUGUGGUGCCAGAGCUGUGUCCCAUCAGGUUUUGUUUCCCUCUGAGGACAGAGAUCUGAGUUUCUGGGCCGAGGUGAAAUUGCUGAGUGCUUGGAUGAGCUAUCCAGGGAACAGGGAACUCAGAAUCGCAGGUGCUGAUGGAACCAUUGCCUUAGCUUUGCUUAGUUUGUGUCUGUGAGAAGUGGGAUUUGGGCUGGAGAGGUGCUGUUGGGAACAAAGAAUGCAGUAAAUCCAUUUCGGGGAUACACCGUGAAGGACUGAGUUGCAGGGAAUGAGAGUGUUUAUAAACUGUAUCAAUAUUCCCCUGAAACUGAAAAAUAAAACAACUCAAGGCACGUUC